ACUAAUAGCUGGAAAAAAUGCACGCACUUUCUUCAUAAUACUGAAAGUAGUUCUGCUCUUGGCAGGAGCAUGGAUGCCAUAUAAUCCAAUUGUCUUCUCUUUCGAAUGAGGAAACAAAGCCCAGAAAAGCCAAGCAAUAUGUUAUAGAAUGCUUCAGCUACCAAAGCCUGGCUGAAAAUUGAAGACUUCCAGCCCUGUUUAAUACUUAGAAGCCAGUGAAGUAUAUACUCAGUGUGAUUCUUGGAAAAGAGAGACAUAUACAUAUUCUUACAUCUCACCUUCUUCAGAUAUCCCAAUGAGCAACACUCUCAACAAAAAGGUCCAGUGUUCCAUACCCUCUGCUACGCAAAGAGAAACAUCACUACCAUCAAAAUCAACUCUAUUUUUUUUCUAGUACUCUGUGCCACAGUCUAGUUUGCUUUGCAUUUUAACCAUGAGAGAUUCAUACAACUUUUCUCCCCUUAGAGUUUCAGUU